UAAGUUGUUGCGGUUAAAAAGCUCGUAGUUGAAAUUGUGUCCUGCGGUGUCGGUCUACCGACUGCGGUACGACAGGCACGUCUGCGGGGCUUCUCGCCGGUGCGUCCACCGCCGGUGCGCGUCGCGACCUUCCUAACGGUGGGCCGCGCGCGUCGAGGCGGGCCGUCGCGGCUGUUUACUUUGAACAAAUUAGAGUGCUCAAAGCGGGCUAACACUUGCCUGAAUAUUGUACGCAUGGAAUAAUAGAAUAGGACCUCGGUUCUGUUUUGUUGGCUUUCUGAUACCAGAGGUAAUGAUUAAUAGGGACAACUGGGGGCAUUCGUAUUGCGACGUUAGAGGUGAAAUUCUUGGAUCGUCGCAAGACGGACUAAAGCGAAAGCAUUUGCCAAAGGUGUUUUCAUUAAUCAAGAACGAAAGUUAGAGGUUCGAAGGCGAUUAGAUACCGCUGUAGUUCUAACCAUAAAUGAUGCCAGCCAGCGAUCCGCCGAAGUUUCAUAAUUUUAACCCGGUGGGCAGCUCCCGGGAAACCAAAGCUUUC
rnacentral:rRNA from 1 species